GGGAAAGGAUGUGAGGAUCCCAAAACAACCAGGAUGUUGGCUUAGAAGCAGCCAUCAUUUAAAGAAAGCGUAACAGCUCACUGGUCUAAAUAAGGGUCUUUGCGCCGAAAAUGUAACGGGGCUGAAGCCAUGCACCGAAGCUGAGGAUACGUCGUAAGACGUGUGGUAGCGGAGCGUUCCGUAAGCCAGUGAAGGGAUACCCGUGAGGGGUCCUGGAGGUAUCGGAAGUGCGAAUGUUGACAUGAGUAACGAUAAAGAGGGUGAGAGACCCUCUCGCCGAAAGACCAAGGGUUCCUGCUUAAAGUUAAUCUGAGCAGGGUUAGCCGGCCCCUAAGACGAGGCGGACACGCGUAGUCGAUGGGAACCACGUUAAUAUUCGUGGGCCUGGUGGUAGUGACGGAUUGCUCAACUUGUCCGGACUUAUUGGAUUGUCCGGGCGGGGACGCGGUUCCAGGAAAUAGCUCCACCGUAUAGACCGUACCCGAAACCGACACAGGUGGUCAGGUAGAGUAUACCAAGGCGCUUGAGAGAACUAUGUUGAAGGAACUCGGCAAAUUGCACGCGUAACUUCGGAAGAAGCGUGACCCUUUUCUACGCAAGUAGGAUGGGGUGGCACAGACCAGGGGGUAGCGACUGUUUAUCAAAAACACAGGGCUCUGCGAAGUCGCAAGACGACGUAUAGGGUCUGACGCCUGCCCGGUGCUGGAAGGUUAAGAGGAGGGGUGCAAGCUCUGAAUCGAAGCCCCAGUAAACGGCGGCCGUAACUAUAACGGUCCUAAGGUAGCGAAAUUCCUUGUCGGGUAAGUUCCGACCUGCACGAAUGGCGUAACGACUUCCCCGCUGUCUCCAACAUAGACUCAGUGAAAUUGAAUUCCCCGUGAAGAUGCGGGGUUCCUGCGGUCAGACGGAAAGACCCCGUGCACCUUUACUAUAGCUUUACACUGGCAUUCGUGUCGGCAUGUGUAGGAUAGGUGGUAGGCUUUGAAGCGGGGACGCCAGUUCUCGUGGAGCCAUCCUUGAAAUACCACCCUUAUCGUCAUGGAUGUCUAACCGCGGUCCGUCAUCCGGAUCCGGGACAGUGUAUGGUGGGUAGUUUGACUGGGGCGGUCGCCUCCGAAAGAGUAACGGAGGCGCGCGAUGGUGGGCUCAGAGCGGUCGGAAAUCGCUCGUCGAGUGCAAUGGCAUAAGCCCGCCUGACUGCGAGACUGACAAGUCGAGCAGAGACGAAAGUCGGUCAUAGUGAUCCGGUGGUCCCGCGUGGAAGGGCCAUCGCUCAACGGAUAAAAGGUACGCCGGGGAUAACAGGCUGAUGACCCCCAAGAGUCCAUAUCGACGGGGUUGUUUGGCACCUCGAUGUCGGCUCAUCGCAUCCUGGGGCUGG
rnacentral:rRNA from 1 species